rnacentral:lncRNA from 1 species
GUAACAACAAAUCCCAUAAUUAUGUACUACUAUAAUGCAGCAAUAAAAAAUGUGGAAAAUAAAAAGAAAUGGGAGCAAAAACUGAUCCCAUUACUCCCUUUAACAUAUUGAUCUCCCAUAUUACCAGAUGGGAAAUUUCCAUAGUUCUGCAUAGGAUUGAGAGGUUCUCAGAGUAUUAAAGCCUUCUACACAUCUAGAAGUAUGGUGUGGAGAAAAAUAAUACUCUGUCUACUACCAUUCCAGUAAAUGCCAUGUUUCCAAAAUCACCUAAAGGUAGCUAACAUCGUGCACCAUGGAGAUGCAGAAUGUGGUAGUUGAAUAUAAUCACAAUUAAAUGAAAAGCAUCUCAGUCAGACUGGGGAUGUAGCUCGGUGGUAGAAUGCUUGCCUGUCAUGCAGUUCCAACCCCAACACUGAAACAAGAAAAAGAAAAAAGACAGUAAUCCCAGGCAUCCAGUGAGUUUAAGACUUAACUGUUGCCUAUGUUAGAGGUUCUGACCUAGGACACUCAAACCACCUGGAAUGUUAAAGUACAGAUUCUAAUUAGCAGUUAAGGAGAGGACAGCUGAGACUCUGGUUUUCUGAGAAAACAUAGCUUCAAGGUGCUUCUAGGUAUAUAUGCUACAGCUGCCCAUAAUAAACUCCAGAUCCUUUCCAAAGUUGGAAGGAGAAUGCAAAAUGACAUUAUGAACUUUUUCCAAUGAGGCAAAGUUCAUGGGAAAAUUAUAAAGUACUAAACAUAUGCCAUAUAUCAUAUGUUUCCUUGUUUCAUUUUAGACCCUGGACCGUGUAUGUACCUGGCAGGUAUGAUUAACAACAACAAAGACUCAUUAUUACUCCAAAUCCACCUGCCUCCUACCUAAAAACAUGCCACCCACUGAAACAUUAUUUGAUUUUGUGACACUAUGAAAGCUGUGGUUACAGAUAAACAAGCACAAUGAAUAAAGAGAGGUAUCCAAAUAGCAGGUGGAGAAGAAAAACAAGCAAAAAAGAUGAGAGAACAUUUGCUAACUAGAAAGAACUAUGUAUAAUAACUCUUAUUUGCCUUUGGGUUCAGUCUGGUUAUACUCUAUUCAGGUAAGGUUCAUGAUUUCCACAUUUGUAAAUGAAAGAACCACAGAUUUUCAUGAAAAGAUAAUAUGAAUGAAUGAAUUCAAUGUACUGUAAAUGAUCUCUUAUUGGGAGGAUAGAAGUUGGGGUUAGGAUAUAUGACCAAAAAAGUCAUUAUUGAAUACCUGCUAUAUAAAAACUACAUCAAUUAUAUAAUUAAUUUUCUCUCAACCUCAAUAAGUGAAUAUAUUAUUGGAUGGGGAGGUAGCUCAGUGGUAGAACCCUUGCAUAGCACACUUGAGGCCCUGCAAUCAAUCCCUAGCAUGCAUGCAUGCGCAUACACACAUACACACACACACACACAUGUUAUUAAAAUCCCCAUUUCAUAUUUAUGAAUCUAACCAUCAAAAGAAGUUAUAAAACUUGCCUAAAUUCAUAGACUGGCAGAACUAUACUUUCAAAUUCAUUUUUAUCUUAAGUAUUUAUUAUACCAUUUUAAUCCUUUUAAAGCUAUACGUUGAUUUCUGUUCUGAUACUGGCUAUUUUGAAUACCUAGAAGAACAAUAACACUAAUGAGUGUGGUGUGACUGGGAAGGGACACAUUGAGGACAAAUGCUUUUCAAAUUAA